rnacentral:rRNA from 1 species
AACGAACGCUGGCGGCAGGCCUAACACAUGCAAGUCGAGCGCGUAGCAAUACGAGCGGCGCACGGGAUAGUAACGCGUGGGAACCUACCUUUCGGUUCGGAAUAACAUCGGGAAACUGGUGCUAAUACCGGAUACGCCCUUCGGGGGAAAGAUUUAUUGCCGAUAGAUGGGCCCGCGUUGGAUUAGCUAGUUGGUGAGGUAACGGCUCACCAAGGCAACGAUCCAUAGCUGGUCUGAGAGGAUGAUCAGCAUCACUGGGACUGGGACACGGCCCAGACUCCUACGGGAGGCAGCAGUGGGGAAUAUUGGACAAUGGGGGCAACCUUGAUCCAGCCAUGCCGCGUGAAUGAUGAAGGCCUUCGGGUUGUAAAGUUCUUUUGGUGGGGACGAUGAUGACGGUACCCACAGAAUAAGCUCCGGCUAACUUCGUGCCAGCCGCCGCAGUAA